CUGAUUUCUAUAUAAUGGCCCUCUGCUUCAGUUUCACCAAAGUCGGUUUGCAGAGACAAAUUUCUUCAGCUUUUCACAUCUAUAUCAGUACCUAGUUUUGUAAUGAUGCACGGAUCGUUGGAUCAAUCGAUAUCUCCAUACAAAUCCACCAAUUUCAAAAAAUUCCAUCAAAAUCCAACUCCCUCCGACGCUUUCCGGCUAUCCCAAUCCUCACAACCGCCGCUUCUCCCCCUUCCGGCCUCCGCCCGCCGCUUCUCCCCCUUCCGGCCUCCGCCCGCCGCCUCUCGUGCUCGCCCGCUAGCAGGAAGUCAAAAUCCCCAAAAAAGGAAGGUAAAAAAUCGAAAGGUGUUACCAAAGUGGUGCAGUUGAUCUCGAUUGUGGAAAGUGAUGCGAGAAAGUGCGAGAUCGGCGACGUAUUUUCGGGAUCGGCGGUGUUCUCUCCGCCGCCGAGCAGCCUGCCUCUGCCGACCUUCACGAUGAGGCCAAAGCUUAGCUGUCAGGCAGCCGGCGUGGAUGCUGGUGCCACCGAUGUUCUGCGGCGCCUUCUUCGACUCCGGUGAAUUAAUUAAGCUAAGCUGAAGUUGGUUUCUAUAUUUGUGUUGUGGUUUGGAUGAGUUAGAGUGGAGAUCCCAUGUGUUUUUAGGAAUGGGAGCUUCAGCUUUAGAUAAUUUGCUCAACAUAAAUUACCUUCUUCUCUGUAUUUAUCUCCAUUUCCGGUUACGAUGCGUUAAUUAAUUCGACUAGUACUGUUUAAUUCCCUUGUAAUUUGAUUUUUCAUGAAUGAACUAAAUGAUUUUUCUCCAGUUUCA